GCCUGGGUGGCUCAGUCGGUUGAGCGUCCGACUUCGGCUCAGGUCAUGAUCUCGCGGUUCGUGGGUUUGAGUCCCACAUCGGGCU
rnacentral:tRNA from 1 species